rnacentral:rRNA from 1 species
UACGUAGGGUGCGAGCGUUAAUCGGAAUUACUGGGCGUAAAGCGUGCGCAGGCGGUGAUGUAAGACAGAUGUGAAAUCCCCGGGCUCAACCUGGGAACUGCAUUUGUGACUGCAUUGCUGGAGUGCGGCAGAGGGGGAUGGAAUUCCGCGUGUAGCAGUGAAAUGCGUAGAUAUGCGGAGGAACACCGAUGGCGAAGGCCAAUCCCCUGGGCCUGCACUGA